UGCGCUAAAGCUCGUAGUUGGAUUUGUGGCUGUCACGGGCGGCCUAUCACUUAGUGUUAGUGCUUGCCUGUGUCGCCAUCCUUGGGUGGAGCCCGUGUGGCAUUAGGUUGUCGUGCGGGGGAUGCCCAUCGUUUACUGUGAGAAAAUUAGAGUGUUCAAAGCAGGCUUAUGCCGUUGAAUAUGUUAGCAUGGAAUAAUAAGAUAGGACCUCGGUACUAUUUUGUUGGUUUGCGCACCGAGGUAAUGAUUAAUAGGGACAGUUGGGGGUAUUCGUAUUCCAUUGUCAGAGGUGAAAUUCUUGGAUUUCUGGAAGACGAACUACUGCGAAAGCAUUUACCAAGGAUGUUUUCAUUAAUCAAGAACGAAAGUUAGGGGAUCGAAGAUGAUUAGAUACAUUCGUAGUCA
rnacentral:rRNA from 1 species